AUGCUAAGAUGGGCCCUAGAAAGCCCCGCUUGCA
rnacentral:tRNA from 1 species